AAGUCGUAACAAGGUCUCCGUUGGUGAACCAGCGGAGGGAUCAUUACUGAGUUCUACAAAAACUCCCAACCCUUUGUGAACCUUACCGUCGUUGCCUCGGCGCUGAGCGGCGGCUACCCUGGAGAGCUUUUCCGGGAGCCACCUACCCUGUAGGUGGCUACCCUGGAGCUACCCUGUAGUAGUUUUGCACUGUACGCUCCGCCGGCGGACCUCUACACUCUGUUUUGUAUAGUGUAUCUCUGAAACCUAUAACUUAAUACGUUAAAACUUUCAACAACGGAUCUCUUGGUUCUG
rnacentral:misc_RNA from 1 species